CUCACCGGACAGCUCACCGGACAGCUCACUGGACAGCGGCAGGCAUGCGGUCCACGCCGCAGCUGGUCACCCUGCUGACAAUCUGCUGCUCGUCCGCCCUGUCGGCGCUGGUGCCGCACGUGACAAAUCAGGAAGAGAAGGUGGUUCUGGAGGACGACGAUUCCAUCCUGUCGCCGCUGAAGCCGUUUCACGUCAUUCAUG